UUUGAUUUUUUUUCCGGUGUU
rnacentral:piRNA from 1 species